UACGUAGGCAGCGAGCGUUGUUCGGAGUUACUGGGCGUAAAGGGUGUGUAGGCGGUUCUUUAAGUUUGGCGUGAAAUCUCCCGGCUCAACCGGGAGGGUGCGUCGAAUACUGAGGGACUAGAGUACGGGAGAGGAAAGUGGAAUUCCUGGUGUAGCGGUGAAAUGCGUAGAUAUCAGGAGGAACACCGGUGGCGUAGACGGCUUUCUGGACCGUAACUGACGCUGAGACACGAAAGCGUGGGUAGCAAACAGG
rnacentral:rRNA from 1 species